UUGCAACGAAAUUUGAGUUGAUGGAAUGAUGGCCGUGGCAAUAGCCCUAAAAUCUAGUAGUGGAACUUCCCGUGAACACACCAUCCGCAGAAAAUCCCAUAUGCUGGCAAGUCAUGCAGGGAGUACUGGUACCAAACAUGCAUCUUGAAGUUUGUCUUCAUAGCUCAGUCAUAUGUCCAUACCCCUUCCUCCCAAGCACGGACCAAAUCAUCAAUCAGAGGCUCCAUGUACACACUCAUAUUAUUACUCGGGUGCUUUGGAAUUAUCAACGACAAGAAUAUAUUUUGUCAUUGAAAGAGGACGCCAGGGGGGAGAUUGAGGGGGAUAACGAACAUGGGCCAACAGGUGUACGAGGCGGCUGCCAUUCCAUAAGGAUUGAACCCAUCUGUUGCCAACGCAACAUGUACAUUACGGGCCUCUAGAGCUUUUUCACGAUAAAUCGCAUCAAACCUUGUCCAAGCUUCACCAUCGGAUGGGUGUACCAGCUUCUCAGGAUUGUAUCGAUGUCCGUUUUUGUGCAAUAUCAUCUGUUUCGUGGAUUCUUCAGUCAUGUAAAGCCGUUGGAUCCUCGGUAUCAAAGGAAGAUACCGUAGCACCUUCAUGGGGAUUGCGAGCUGCUUCUUCUGACCAUCACCAGAGUCUACCUCCAGGAACCUAGAUGAUUUGCACUUCACACAAUA
rnacentral:lncRNA from 1 species